GCAUUAAGUUGGGCACUCUAGAGAGACUGCCUGGGCUACCAGGAGGAAGGUGGGGAUGACGUCAAGUCCUCAUGGCCNUUAUGUCCAGGGCUACACACGUAAUACAAUGGUGCAUACAGAGGGACGCGACCCUGCGAAGGUGAGCAAAUCUCAAAAAGUGCAUCUCAGUCCGGAUUGGAGUCUGCAACUCGACUCCAUGAAGUUGGAAUCGCUAGUAAUCGUGGAUCAGCACGCCACGGUGAAUACGUUCCCGGGCCUUGUACACACCGCCCGUCACACCACGGGAGUUGAUCUUACCUGAAGCCGUGACCCUAACUUCGGAAGGGAGCGUCUACGGUCGGAUCGAUGACUGGGGUGAAGUCGUAACAAGGUAGCCCUAGGGGAACCUGGGGCUGGAUCACCUCCUUUUAAUGGUUUUUGACCAGAGUCUUCACUGGAGUAAUUCAGUGAAAAACCUGCUCUGGCUAGAUCAGGUCAAACUGAGACGAGUUUCUCAGUAAUUUCCGUCUUAAAGUCUCUUCUUCUUUUUUUAUUUUUUGUGUGAGUGACUCAUCGAAGUCGAUUGGGUGUAUAGCUCAGCUGGUUAGAGUACGUCCCUGAUAAGGACGGGGUCCCUGGUUCGAGUCCAGGUACACCCACCAUUCAAAAAAUUUAAAGUUCUUCUAAAUAAAAUUGAAUUUUCAAAUUUCUGGAAUGAGGUCUUCUUCUGAAGCUUCGUUUUGGUGAUUUGAAAAUUUGCUAUUUCGAAAAUUAAAUAACGGUUUAAGAAAGUAGACGAGAAAUCCAUACAGUAAAUUAGAAUUCUUCUCAUUUAUUAGUUAGAGGUAAAAAGUUACUAAGGGUGUAUGGUGGAUAUCUUGGCAGUAAGAGGCGAUGAAGGACGUAUGUUAAGUUGCGAUAACUUCGGGGAGUCA
rnacentral:sRNA from 1 species